rnacentral:rRNA from 1 species
AACGUAGGAGACAAACGUUAUCCGGAGUUACUGGGCGUAAAGGGCGUGUAGGCGGUUAGUUAAGUCUGGCGUGAAAGCUCUCGGCUAAACCGGGAGAGGUCGUUGGAUACUGGCUGACUAGAGGACGGUAGAGGAGUGGAAUUCCGGGUGUAGUGGUGAAAUGCGUAGAGAUCCGGAGGAACACCAGUGGCGAAGGCGACACGCUGGGCCGUACCUGACGCUAAAGCGCGACAGCAUGGGGAGCAAACGGG